rnacentral:rRNA from 1 species
GACGAACGCUGGCGGCCUGCUUAACACAUGCAAGUCGAACGAAGUGGCGAGCGGGUGAGUAACGCGUAAUCAACCUGCCCUUCAGAGGGGGACAACAGUUGGAAACGACUGCUAAUACCGCAUACUGAAGGAGGGGAUUGCGUCUGAUUAGCUAGUUGGAGGGGUAACGGCCCACCAAGGCGAUGAUCAGUAGGCGGUGUGGGAGGAUGGACGGCCACAAUGGGACUGGGACACGGGCCAGACUCCUACGGGAGGCAGCAGUGGGGGAUCUUCCGCAAUGGACGAAAAGCUGGCGGAGCAACGCCGGGGGGGUGAUGGCGGCCUUCGGGUUGUAAAGCUCUGUUAAUCGGGACGCGGUACCGGAAUAGAAAGCCACGGCUAACUACGUGCCAGCCGCCGCGGUAAUAC